ACGGCUGAAGAAGAAAGAGCCAGAUAAUCUGCAGGGGACGAGCAUCUUAUCUAAGCGGGUCACCAAGUCUUUUCUCCCAUGGAGUGGCUGGAGAGUUCAAACUGCCAAUCUUUGGAUCCCAUGGAUAAAGGAGCCUGUACGACUUGGAUAUGGGGAAAUAUUAACUGGGAGAGUUUGACAAGCACUCCUUUCAGAAAUAAACUUGGAGAACAACAACAGCAGAGAGCGUCUGGGCUCCAUGAAGAAGAAAGUCAAUAACUAGUCCAAGAAUGACCACGAGAACUUGGUUGGAUUUCUUGAGUCUUACAACUUCUCCAUGUUUAUUAACAUUGCACCCUCAGUCUAUUUCUAUGUAAUGAUCAGCAAGAACAAAGAAAAUGGCUCUGAGAGAGAGCAAGACAUGAGGAAAUGAAGGAAACUGUAGCUGCCGGGCAGCCAGGCUAGAGUGGAGGAGAAAUUCCAAGAAACCAGGUCUGCAGUGAAGACUCUGAACAGCUCUGGGCCUGUGGGAUGGGAGAAGACUAUUGUUGAUAAUUCUCCAGAGGCCUCUGAACUGCCUAAGGGGAUGGAAAGACAAGAACAUUUCUUCAUACUCUUUGGGAGGGGCGACCAUCUCUAAGAAGCCCUGUAAUGUCACCCAGCCUCCAGGGCCAUCUGGCUGCAUUUCGUGUUGGACUGCAAGAUGAUGAGAGUUUAAUUUCAUCACACUUUCAUUUGCAAGUCCGUCUUUUGGAUCAAACGGUUCAGGAGGUUAAACGUGUUCAAGAAAAGUGUCUAAAUGCUAUAGCCACAGGCUAGUUGCUUGGAAGAAAGAAAGAGACUCAGCUGCAAGCGUUUCCUCAGUGGGGGUCUUUGAGGUUCUUCACUUGGCUUUUACUGGUGCCUUGAUUCUUUGAAGAUCCUCUCAGUAUUGUGUAUAUUUUCACCACAAUUAAACAAACAGACGAGCCCACGGGACUGUACAACACAAGAGCGAACGCUAGAAGGCUAAUGUAAACUAUAAACUUUAGUUAAUAAUAAUGUAUUGUAACAAAAGCACCACGCUGAUGUAAGAUGCUAACAAUAGGAGAAAUUACAUGCAGAGGAGGAGGGGGCAUAGGGUAACUCUCUGUACUUCCUGUGCAAAUUUUCUGUAAAACUAAAACGUCUCCAAAAAAAAAGAUGUAUUAAAAAUUACAAAAAAAAAAAA